AGUCUGGUGCCAGCAGCCGCGGUAAUUCCAGCUCCAAUAGCGUAUAUUAAAGUUGUUGCAGUUAAAAAGCUCGUAGUUGGAUCUCGGGUCCAGGCUUGUGGUCCACCUCGCGGUGGUUACUGCUCGUCCUGACCUACCUCCCGGUUUUCCCUUGAUGCUCUUAGCUGAGUGUCUCGGGUGGCCGGAACGUUUACUUUGAAAAAAUUAGAGUGUUCAAAGCAGGCAUUUCGCCUGAAUAAUGGUGCAUGGAAUAAUGGAAUAGGACCUCGGUUCUAUUUUGUUGGUUUUCGGAACUUGAGGUAAUGAUUAAGAGGGACAGACGGGGGCAUUCGUAUUACGGUGUUAGAGGUGAAAUUCUUGGAUCGCCGUAAGACGAACUACUGCGAAAGCAUUUGCCAAGAAUGUUUUCAUUAAUCAAGAGCGAAAGUCAGCGGUUCGAAGACGAUCAGAUACCGUCGUAGUUCUGACCAUAAACGAUGCCAACUAGCGAUCCGCCGGAGUUGCUUCAAUGACUCGGCGGGCAGCUUCCGGGAAACCAAAGUCUUUGGGUUCCGGGGGAAGUAUGGUUGCAAAGCUGAAACUUAAAGAAAUUGACGAAAAGGGGGACCA
rnacentral:rRNA from 1 species